rnacentral:rRNA from 1 species
GUGUCAGCAGCCGCGGUAAUACAGAGGUCCCAAGCGUUGUUCGGAUUCACUGGGCGUAAAGGGUGCGUAGGUGGUGGGGUAAGUCGGAUGUGAAAGCUCGGAGCUCAACUCCGAAAUUGCAUUGGAAACUGCCCUGCUAGAGGGUCGGAGGGGGGACUGGAAUACUUGGUGUAGCAGUGAAAUGCGUAGAUAUCAAGUGGAACACCAGUGGCGAAGGCGAGUCCCUGGACGACUCCUGACACUGAGGCACGAAAGCUAGGGGAGCAAACAGGAUUAGAUACCCUGGUAGUCCUAGCCGUAAACGGUGCACGUUUGCUGUAAAAGGAAUCGACCCCUUUUGUGGCGUAGCUAACGCGUUAAACGUGCCGCCUGGGAAGUACGGUCGCAAGAUUAAA